rnacentral:rRNA from 1 species
AACGCGAAGAACCUUACCCGGGCUUGAACUACGGAUGGUAAGUCCCUAGAAACAGGGGCUGACCCGCAAGGGAGUCCGCAGAGGUGCUGCAUGGUUGUCGUCAGCUCGUGUCGUGAGAUGUUGGGUUAAGUCCCGCAACGAGCGCAACCCCUACUCGAUGUUGCUAAUCCCGCAAGGGAUGCACUCUUCGAGAACUGCCUUCGAUAAGAAGGAGGAAGGUGGGGACGACGUCAAAUCCUCAUGGCCCUUAUGUCCGGGGCUACACACGUGUUACAAUGGCCGGUACAAUGGGAAGCAAUACCGUAAGGUGGAGCCAAACCCACAAAGCCGGCCCCAGUUCAGAUUGUGGGCUGCAACUCGCCCACAUGAAGGCGGAAUCGCUAGUAAUCGCUGAUCAGCAGGCAGCGGUGAAUACGUUCCCGGGCCUUGUA